rnacentral:rRNA from 1 species
GAUCCUAGCUCAGGAUGAACGCUGGCGGCGUGCUUAACACAUGCAAGUCGAGCGAAGCACUCUGCUUUGAUUCUUUCGGGAUGAAGAGCAUUGUGACUGAGCGGCGGACGGGUGAGUAACGCGUGGGUAACCUGCCUCAUACAGGGGGAUAACAGUUAGAAAUGGCUGCUAAUACCGCAUAAGACCACAGCACCGCAUGGUGCAGGGGUAAAAAACUCCGGU